UUGACGCGAUGUAGAGGCUUAAGUGCGAUGAUUCGCGUUGGCCAUGCUGGAGGGGACAGUUUAACUUGAGUUGGCUGUCUCUGGCAGGGUCUCCCAUUCCAGAAGGGCACGCGUUGAGCAUGAUACUAAGAACUACCCUCCCUUUGUCUGAUAGCGUCUGUUCUCCUCUGGGGCGGCUAUCAGAUGUUAUUUCCAUCGAACCAUUUUCCCCUCAUUGAGAGGGGUGGUUAAGGUGGAUAGUCCGGCUGGUCCGUAAGGACUCUUUAAUGUCCGUCCGAAAUCCACCAGCGUCUGUUUCCCAUAUUGGGCGGCUGGUGGUCUGCGUCUGUUUCUCCAAUGGGGCGGCAGUUAUCUCAACACCUGGCAGCAGGUAUAAAAUGCAAGUAAUUGUCCAUCAGGACUCAUGGAAGAGGAUAAGGCAUGCCCCAUGUACCCGGUCGGGGGCGACAACAAAGGCGAUACAUCCUCAGGUGAUGUAAAGUCCAUGCUCUCGGAAGAGGGCAUGGAUUGCAAUGACGCCACUGAUCCAGCCGACACUGAAGAUACCAACUCAGUCUCUGAACUAGUUGGUACAUUCUUUGAACGGAUGGAUGAGGUGGUGGACGAGGACGCCCUCCUGAAUUCUGACCAGGAGGACGCCGACGUCACUAUUGUAAAAAUGGAGCAUGGUGAGGGUGACCCAGAUAAACCUUCACCACUCUAAAGCAGCAUCAGCUGCACUGCUCCUCCGAAUUGCUCAGAACGGGGAGGAGCUAGUCAUGGUCCAGGAACCUUGGGUCCAUCAGGACCGUAUCUGUGGACUAUGUUUGAAGGGCUAUAAGCUCUACUUCGCUAAAGGCGCAGUAAUGAAGAUACAGUAGCAGUCUCAUGGGAAACUAAUGAAGGCUGUUUGUUAUGGCUGAUAUCCAGCUACAUGGCGCAUGACCACGGGGAGCAUCCACCAAACGAUGAUAUCCGUAGUGCUGUGAAAAAGGCGAAUGAGUCCAGGAUACCAUUGGUUAUCUGUGCUGACGCUAACUCGCACCACAUUGUAUGGGGUAGCAGCGACACCAACACAAGAGUUUUAACAGACCCCGAGGUGAAGCCGCGUGAGCUAGUAGGGUGGUGGAAUCCAGAGGCCAACAUCAGGUUCGUAACAGAAUAUGACGCCCAAUCUGAAAAUAGAUAGAAGUAAUUAGUGUAGACGACCAAAACACUAGGCAAUAUACAACUAGAAUAUUUAACA